GACGAACGCUGGCGGCGUGCUUAACACGUGCAAGUCGAACGGAAAGGCCCUGCUCUUGUGGGUUGCUCGAUUGGCGAACGGGUGAGUAACACGCGAGUAACCUCCCCUUGUCUUUGUGAUAACUUCAGGAAACUGGGGCUAAUACCGGAUAGGAUCUCCUGCUGCAUGGUGGGGGUUGGAAAGUUUCGGCGUUUGGGGAUGUACUCGCGGCUUAUCAGCUUGUUUGUCGGGUAGUUGCUUACCAAGGCUUCGAGGGGUAGCCGGCCUGGGAGGGGGAACGGCCACAUUGGGACUAAGAGACGGCGCAGACGCCUACGGGAGGCAGCAGGGGGAAAUAUUGCACAAUGGGCGGAAGCGUGAGGCAGCAACGCCGCGUGCGGGAUGACGGGUUUCGGGUUGUAAACCGAUUUGGCAGGUGACGAAGCGUGAGUGACGGUAAUGGGUAAAGAAGCACCGGCUAACUACGUG
rnacentral:rRNA from 1 species